rnacentral:rRNA from 1 species
GAGUUUGAUCGUGGCUCAGAUUGAACGCUGGCGGCAUGCCUUACACAUGCAAGUCGAACGGCAGCAUGAUCUAGCUUGCUAGAUUGAUGGCGAGUGGCGAACGGGUGAGUAAUACAUCGGAACGUGCCCUGUAGUGGGGAUAACUAGUCGAAAGAUUAGCUAAUACCGCAUACGACCUGAGGGUGAAAGUGGGGGACCGCAAGGCCUCAUGCUAUAGGAGCGGCCGAUGUCUGAUUAGCUAGUUGGUGGGGUAAAGGCCCGACCAAGGCGACGAUCAGUAGCUGGUCUGAGAGGACGAUCAGCCACACUGGGACUGAGACACGGCCCAGACUCCUACGGGAGGCAGCAGUGGGGAAUUUUGGACAAUGGGCGAAAGCCUGAUCCAGCAAUGCCGCGUGUGUGAAGAAGGCCUCGGUUGUAAG